ensembl:lncRNA
CAGAAGUUCACCAGAGCAGGACAGUGUGAUCGCACCUCCCUCCUAAUGCUGCUUCCCAAGCAGGCCAUGCUGUGAUUCUAUACCUGCUGCCAUUGCUGUAGUGGAGGUCAUCUCACUGCCGUGACUGCUGCACGAGGAAAUCCUGCAUCAUCCCUGGGCCUCUGUGCACACCUGAGUGAAAGCAUGCACCGGGCACCGAGUGCAGCAGCAGAUGGCACACGCAGUCGUGAAACCUCCACCAUACGUGGGCCUGGACUGGAGUAGGUGCCAGCAGAGGGAGCUGAGUGUGUUCCUCAUCUGCAGCCUUCCGUGGUGGGAUGUGGGUCUCUGGGCUGCUGAUGGUGCCGUGUCCCCAUAUGCUUCUGGAGCAGAUUCCAGCCCUGCUCCCGGGGUGGGGAGGUGGUCACAC